AAUAUGAAACUGACUGAAUAGGUAGGGUAAUUUUUCAGUGACUGCACAUGGUCCUACAUAUUCAGUCAGUUUCAUAUU
ensembl:miRNA